rnacentral:rRNA from 1 species
UACGGAGGGUGCAAACGUUGCUCGGAAUUAUUGGGCGUAAAGCGCAUGUAGGCGGCCGAAUAAGUCGGGUGUGAAAGCCCAGGGCUUAACCCUGGAAGUGCACUCGAAACUGCUCGGCUUGAAUAUGGAAGAGGGUCGCGGAAUUCCCGGUGUAGAGGUGAAAUUCGUAGAUAUCAGGAGGAACACCGGUGGUGUAGACGGCUUACUGGACCAUAACUGACGCUGAGACACGAAAGCGUGGGUAGCAAACAGG